rnacentral:lncRNA from 1 species
UCACGUCGAACUUCAAAAUGGAGGCUCAAAGACAAAAGAAAAGGGCCAAUUGAGCACAACUGCUCAUUAAAAUUCCAGUAAAAUAGCAUAAACUUACAAUAGCAAACUAAAUACAAUAAAAUCAACGUGCAAACACUCAGGUUACGGAGCUUCUAAUAAAGACUAGAAACACUUACCAUUCUGCAGCUUUUACUUCAAC